rnacentral:rRNA from 1 species
CGGAAUGCUUUACACAUGCAAGUCGAACGGCAGCACGGGAGCUUGCUCCUGGUGGCGAGUGGCGAACGGGUGAGUAACAUAUCGGGAACGUAUCCAAUAAGUGGGGGAUAACUAAUCGAAAGGUUGGCUAAUACCGCAUACGCCCUGGAGGGGGAAAGCGGGGGAUCGCAAGACCUCGCGCGAUUGGAGCGGCCGAUAUCAGAUUAGGUAGUUGGUGAGGUAAAGGCUCACCAAGCCGACGAUCUGUAGCUGGUCUGAGAGGACGACCAGCCACACUGGGACUGAGACACGGCCCAGACUCCUACGGGAGGCAGCAGUGGGAAUUUGGACAAUGGGCGCAAGCCUGAUCCAGCAAUGCCGCGUGCAGGAUGAAGGCCUUCGGGUUGUAAACUGCUUUGUACGGAACGAAACGGUGAGCUCUAAUACAGUUUGCUAAUGACGGUACCGUAAGAAUAAGCACCGGCUAACUACGUG